AUUGAACGCUGGCGGCAUGCCUUACACAUGCAAGUCGAACGGCAGCACGGGAGCAAUCCUGGUGGCGAGUGGCGAACGGGUGAGUAAUACAUCGGAACGUGCCCAGUAGUGGGGGAUAGCCCGGCGAAAGCCGGAUUAAUACCGCAUACGACCUACGGGUGAAAGCGGGGGAUCGCAAGACCUCGCGCUAUUGGAGCGGCCGAUGUCAGAUUAGCUAGUUGGUGGGGUAAAGGCCUACCAAGGCGACGAUCUGUAGCUGGUCUGAGAGGACGACCAGCCACACUGGGACUGAGACACGGCCCAGACUCCUACGGGAGGCAGCAGUGGGGAAUUUUGGACAAUGGGCGCAAGCCUGAUCCAGCAAUGCCGCGUGAGUGAAGAAGGCCUUCGGGUUGUAAAGCUCUUUUGUCAGGGAAGAAAAGGGAGUGGCUAAUAUCCAUUCCUGCUGACGGUACCUGAAGAAUAAGCACCGGCUAACUACGUGCCAGCCGCCGCAGUAAGAC
rnacentral:rRNA from 1 species